GUGGGAUUUGAACCUGAGUCUUCUGGUUCAUAGGCGAGUGUGUUACCCACUAGGCUACUACCAUUCCUCCCUUUUUUUUUUUUACGAGUUUCAUGGCGUGUGUCUUUCAGUCAGCAGUGAGCAGGGUUCGAACCCGGGACUUCCAUUCGGCUCCGUAACGUACAGGGAAAUGAUUGUAUUAGGCAGCGAUUGGAAGGUUUUGGCUUUGAAGCCGGAACGUCUGGAGAUGGUGAUGCUCUGUCUUCAGUUCCUGCUUCUUCUUGGGCCAUUUUGAAAGGAUGCAGUCCUUGCAGAACAACGCGGCAGAACUGAAGCAGUCGAUAACAGGCCACCUGGGCCGGCUCGGUCUCCUGGCGGAACGUGUGGACGCCCUUCAGAUGAACACAUCUGUCUUCGUGCAGAUGAACACUAAACCCCGUACCUGGAGUGGACAGCAGGGGUUUCGCCACUCGCCACGCGUGCAGUCUUCAGAGGACGCGCAGUCCGAGUGCGGGUGGUACCCGACGUACAGACGACGCAACAGCGAUGCCGCCUCUGAGAUGUCCUGUGCCUGGUAGCCCCUAAGAAGCCAAACCGAUGUUUUUUUUUGUUGUUGUUUUUGUUCACUUGCUUUAUGCAAUCUGAACUGGGUGCUAAACAUUCAGAUUAUUAUUACAUAUUAUUUUAAACAACCCAGAAUGGUCUGUUCUGAUGAGAUGCUUACAUCUGUACAACAGAGACAAAGUACACAGCAACUUUUAACCCCAGGUAUGUUCCGUUAAUUCAGACAUAAACAAGUAAAAUGACAUUUGUUGAUCUUUGUUUUCAUACCUCCAUGCAUGUUAAAAAGAGC
rnacentral:lncRNA from 1 species